AGAGCACUGUUGACAAUGUCUGCCUUCACUUGGAAUUCAGCACCUGCUUUCAGUAUAAACCCCUGCAUUUCACUAAAACUGAGCAGACUGCUGGUUUAAAAAAGAGAGGUCCAUCCAGCAGGGAUGAUGCUUUUCCUCGUUGAAAGAGGACAUUCACCUAAUGGGAGACCUGGAGUCAGAAUCUUUCUGAUGUGUGACUUGGCACAGUAACACAAUGCAGGAUGCUGGUGUGUUAAUAAAAAUAAAAAUUGCAUCGCCUACCUCAGAGUCGACAACAAUGUCAAGGAGUUAAUGUGAGUACAUCUGAAAAUGUUACUAAUCAUGAUGAUGAUAUCAAUGUCUUUUAUUUGCAAGUUCCAUUUGUUUUUACUGAAAUAAUUACUCCUGAGUGGGGCUAGAAGCCAAGCACUUGACAAGUUUGCUCUUUGAACCAGUAUGGUUGUGAUGUGAUUUGGAGUUCCUGCUACUCCUCUCCUCUAAAUUUCUUGGAUUGGAAACUGUCACUCUUCAGUUAGGAAUGCUGAACGGAUCCCAAUGCUUUAGCGGUGGCCUGGACAGAAUGAACUAGGGAGGCUACCACAUUUGUUUAAAAGUGCACUGUUCUAGACAUCUCUAUAAGGAAUAAAUUACUGGGCUCUGUGCUAAUCUGUUUGUAUGGCUAUAAAGGGAUACCUGAGGCUGGGUGAUUUAUAAAGAAAAGAGAUUUAAUUGGCUCAUGGUUCCACAGGCUGUAUAGGAAGCAUGGUGCCAGCAUCUUUUUCUGGUGAGGGCCCCCAGAAGUUUAAAAUCAUGGUGGAAGGUGAAGGGGGUGCAGGUGCAUCACAUGGCAAAAGCAGGGGUGGAGUCAGAGGGCAAGUGUUCCAUGCUCUUUUAAACAACAACCAGAUCUUGCAUGAACUCAGAGCCACAACUCAGUUAUCACCAAAGGGAUGGUACUAGGCCAUUCAGAAGGGAUCCACCCUGAUGAAUGAUCUAAUCACAUCACAACCAUACUGGUU
rnacentral:lncRNA from 10 species